UACAAUGAAAUGGAAGCCUUGACAAUUCUG
rnacentral:piRNA from 1 species